UGUUAGAAAUCACAAAACCAUACAGGAUUAUACCUUGUUUGGGAAAUUAGGAACUUCAGGUUUUUGCUUCUUUGUUUCUGUCUCCUUUGCCUUUUGGAUUUGUGAUUUAUAACACUAUAUCGGAAGUUUUUAGAACAAAAUUCAUGUUAAAUGUUGCCCAAGAUCGUACCUAUCUGAAUGAUAUAAAUGGAAUCCUGAGGCAGUUUGUUCUUCAGACUCCAGACGUCUGCAUACAGCUGGGGUGGUCAGUAUUGAUAGCCAAAAUGGCCAAAAUGGGUGCUUUGGCUCUGUGCUGUCCAGAUCCCUUGGCACAUACUUGAGAUACCAUCUCAUAUUCACUUUGUACAAAGUUCAGUGUAGUAGUCCCAUUUUAUGCAUAUAUGAGCACCAUUAACUUACAAAAUGGACAAACAUAGCAUGGAAAGACACUUGGAGAGAGAAUACUAGGCAAGAGAGUGCCUUCAACUUUGAAAGAACCAAGCCGCAUAUAAGGAUCUUGCCCUGCUUUGUGAACGCAGAGAUGCCUUUACUGGUGAAGUUGAAAGGAUACUAUAAUCACCUCAGUAUAAUUCAUUAGAGUAGAUUAAAUUAAAAUUUAGAUGAAAAUCAUGAUUUCUUAUUGAAAUGAUUUAAUUAGAUUAUAGUCCCUAAAGUUGAGUAAUUGAGUCUCAAGGCGACAAGGGACUUUAACAAGCCAUUAAAACUAUCCUUCUGUGUGGAGUUGGAUUAAGGAACCAACAGCAAGUCUGUUCAGGGACCUGGCAUCAGUCUCUAAGGACACAAGAACGUUAUUUCAAGAAAUACAGGGCGGCUAACUCUGGCUUUCAUAUACAACCCAUAUAAGAGUUCACAGGACAGUGGCGACGAUACUGAGUAGAAGACAAAGUCAUAACAUCACUGUACAUUUGAAUGGAGGGGAUUUAGAAACCAUCCACCCAGUGCCUGAAUUCCUCUCUACAACAUCAGAGAUGUUGGGGAAAGACCUUUACAUACGUACCCUCAUGUAAAUCCAUUUGAAGGAUCGUAAACCAUUUUAAGGAUAGUGUAAUGAAGAAACUUCCAUGGGGACCGAGAGCUACUUAGUUCGAUCUGAAACUAAAUACACUUCUCGUGGUGUCACCAGAAUCGGAUGUGUUUUCAGAUCUCCGGAUGAAGCUGCAUUUUUGACAAAGGUGAAGAACCACAAUGACCUUGCAAAGCGGAAAGGCCUGACCCAAUGAUUUUUUUACUAAUCGCAACUUUACGAACAAAACUAAGCCGAGAACGGCCAAAUUCCAGAAAAUGUUCUUAAUGGACACUAACAGGAGCAAAAUGACAGGCAUAGAAAUGACAACAUGGAAUCCCCAAAUUCUGAAGAGAACUAACAUCACAAAGCAACCAAGUAACCUGAAAUAUAAGAAGAGACAGUCCCCUCCAAAGAGAAAGGAAGUGAUCUCUGGCUCAGUUCUAAGAGAAUAUGUGGGGAAGAGAUGCUGAGC